rnacentral:rRNA from 1 species
ACUAUCAUUAACUGAAUCCAUAGGUUAAUGAGGCGAACCGGGGGAACUGAAACAUCUAAGUACCCCGAGGAAAAGAAAUCAACCGAGAUUCCCCCAGUAGCGGCGAGCGAACGGGGAGCAGCCCAGAGCCUGAAUCAGUGUGUGUGUUAGUGGAAGCGUCUGGAAAGGCGUGCGAUACAGGGUGACAGCCCCGUACACAAAAAUGCACAUACUGUGAGCUCGAUGAGUAGGGCGGGACACGUGGUAUCCUGUCUGAAUAUGGGGGGACCAUCCUCCAAGGCUAAAUACUCCUGACUGACCGAUAGUGAACCAGUACCGUGAGGGAAAGGCGAAAAGAACCCCGGCGAGGGGAGUGAAAAAGAACCUGAAACCGUGUACGUACAAGCAGUGGGAGCACGCUUAGGCGUGUGACUGCGUACCUUUUGUAUAAUGGGUCAGCGACUUAUAUUCUGUAGCAAGGUUAACCGAAUAGGGGAGCCGAAGGGAAACCGAGUCUUAACUGGGCGUUAAGUUGCAGGGUAUAGACCCGAAACCCGGUGAUCUAGCCAUGGGCAGGUUGAAGGUUGGGUAACACUAACUGGAGGACCGAACCGACUAAUGUUGAAAAAUUAGCGGAUGACUUGUGGCUGGGGGUGAAAGGCCAAUCAAACCGGGAGAUAGCUGGUUCUCCCCGAAAGCUAUUUAGGUAGCGCCUCGUGAAUUCAUCUCCGGGGGUAGAGCACUGUUUCGGCAAGGGGGUCAUCCCGACUUACCAACCCGAUGCAAACU